CCCCGGGGCUCUCCCAGGACCAGGAAAGGUGUGGCAACAGGCACUUUCUUCCUGUUUUAGGGAUGAGGAAUGCCAGGACUGGGCCCAAAAGCCCAAAAGCCGAGCAACUGAUGAGCGAGGGCCAACGCACAGGUGCGACCCCAGGGUGGGCCUUUCCCGUGGGUCCUUACUUGUGAAUCACCGACAGUGAAUGGCCCGAGGGGUGCAGUCAACCUCCCACACACCUCUGACCAGGGGAAAAAAAAAUCUCAAAACUGAGUAUGAAUAAUGGGAUCUAAGACAGGACGGAGCUGGCUCCCCGCGGGGUGGAAGCUGAGCGCCUGUCCCCACCGCGCCUGCCUCAAUUUCCCCAUGUGCGCUGGGCCGGGUCGGUCGNCACUCCCGCGCCCCCCCCCCACCUGCGGCGCCCACCAACCCCCUCCCCCGCUCACCUGCAGCUCCGGCUCCGCGAGCACGCUGGCACACCCCGGACACGGAGAGGUGCAGCCCAACAAUGCAGGCUGCCAGGCCCACGCGGUCGCCAUGGAGACGCCCAGACGGAGUCCCGGAGGCGCCAAGCCGCGCGGAGAGCGCGCAGCCGCGGAGAGAACGGUGCGCUUGCGCACGGGGCCCCUGCGCCGGCCGCGAAGUCCCAGCCGGGCUUGCCGGCGUCCCCUGUGGCCUCCUGUGCGAGCCACUGGGGGACGCACAGAGGGGACACGUGUGCCUUAGUCCUGAGAGACCUAUGCAUGAGGAAGGCCCUUACGGGCCCACCCCCGAGCGAGCAGGGUCUGGGCGGGGCGAGCUCCAGGCUGACCACCGGCCUCCAGGGCCCAGAGAGCCCUCCCACGUGGCCUGACUGCCCUCUGCCCUGGCGGGCCUGGCGGCUUGGAGGGGCCCAGGAUCGCUGCUGUCACACGGACACCCACCCCCCUCCCCGCCCCUCUCCCGAGGCAACGGCCUCCCCAGAAGCCCGCCUGGUAGCCUUUGGGCUGUCCUCGGCCAGAGUUGCUUCCAGUCACCAGAGGGGAAAAGAGAGCCACACGGGCCAGGGCCAAGCAGGAGUCCCUCUGCGGCCUGCCCCUUGGCCAAGCGCCCAGGCAGAGGACGGUGAACACCAGGCAGACGCGGAGCCCCUGGGGAUGAUGUCCUUCAGGGAGCCGAGAGAAGGAAGGCCGCAAAGGGAAGAUGACCUUGGUUUUCACGUGUGGUGCCUGCCCUCUGAGUGCACGCAGUGCGGGCAGUGGGAUUGCCUCAGGAGGGCAAGAGGACCAUGGUGGAAAGGCUGGUUCUCCGGCACCUCAGGAGAGACGUGGGUUGACUCCUUGUGUUCCAGGUAAGCCUGGGUGGUAAGCUCAACCUUGAGAUUUGGGUACAAGCUGUUUAGCUCCAUAGACCGCUCCUGCCAGCCUCAUGGCCUGGGGGGGCCAGUCACCCUUCCUCAGGCCCCUGUGCAUUCAGGCGCUCAGGGAAUGGGGGGGGCGAUGUAGCGGGGUGAGAGGGCAGCGGGACUUUCUGCAUUGUUGGGGACAAGGGUUCAAAUCCUGGCAAAGCAGCAGCUCUCCACCCCCAACCUGCCAUGGGGCGGGGGGCAGUCCUGCCCUUCAGAGGCGCCCCCACCAUCUUCCCAGUUCCCGGACCACUCUUCUCCCCUGUUCCUCUCUGGGGAUGAAGCCCCUUCCUCCAGAGACACUAGGCUUUGAGUCACUUUCUUGUCCGCUGGCGAUGUCCUUCACUUCCUGCGAGCCCCUCAGUGCAGUAAAAAUGUGGGUCUGUGGGACCUUGCUGUUCUGUGGCUGGGGGCCCCUCAGGGUGUCAGCACAGAGGUCAGGCCCAGGAGCGGCACGUGGGAGCCCAGUCAGAUUUGAGUGAGUGAGCAAAUGAAGAUGUGCUCGUGUCUGUCCCGCUGGUGCGUUGUUCCCCCUCCAUGCACACCACGUGCUCUCACGUUUCAGAAAGCAGCAGCGGGACAGAUGAUGCAGUCCGGGCAGAGGGGACGCCGCGCAGAGGGCGGGCAUCGUGGGUGCACAGAAGGGAGGCAGAACACCGGAUGCUCGGCUCUCGGCAUCAGACUAAAGGCUGUUGUUUGCACAGACUGAGCUGUGACGUAUUUCCGGGGCCAGCGUCUGCUGGGCUCUUGCCACCUGGGUCUUCAUGCCCAGUGGGGUGGGAACAGUUCACCUGAUCCCUGUUUCCUGCUGCUGCCACAGCAACUGGCCAGAGCCUCGGGGCCCUGCAACAACGCGCAUUUAUUCUCUUGCCGCUCGGGGGUCACAGGUGUGGACGGGUUUCCCCAGCUGGCAUCGGGGUUCUGCAGGGCUCCAGGGGAGCAUCUGUUUCCCUGUCUUCCCAGCUUCUAGAGGUGCCUGCAUCCCUUGGCCCUGCCCCCCCAUCGGUGUCCUCACUCCAUUGUCACACCUCCUGCUCCCCCCGGACGGACCCUGUGACCGUGCUGGCCGUCAGGUAGCUCAGGACGGCCCCUCCCUCUCAACAUCUCUAGCUCAGCCCCGUGUACAUCCCUUCUGCCCUGCACAUACUGUGUUCACAGGGUUCAGGGAUUAGGGUGUGGCGUCUUUGGGGGCCGUCAUGCCGUCUCUGCAGCGGGCAUACCUCCUGGAAAGGAACGGUCUUCACUGGAGGAAAUGCAGUGAUAAGCUGAUGUGGUGGCCGAUGGCCUGUGGCCCUGAUAUUGGCACCAAGGAUGAGGCCCCCGGCCAGCCACAGGAUCCACACGAUCAGAAGUCCAGGAUGCCGUCUCCACACCUGAGCCUGGCUUGGGACCCACAACGUGUGGCUUCACGGAGAAACCAGGCUCUGAGGAAGAGGGCUGCCCCUCCCCGCACCGGCGGUGACCCCGGUGCUUCCCCAGGGCACUGUGGCCAUGUGCACUGGGCUGUUUCGAGGACUGCUGGACACAGGUGGGGCUGAGAUUCCGACCUGAAGGCCUGAGGUGUCACCACGGCCACCCAUUUGAGCAAAGAGCGUGGAGAUCAGGUAAUGAAUAUGUCCUGGUCCAGGUGUGGCUUGUCCAUGGACCACCCUCCAGGAGCCCAGCUCCUGAGUAGAUCACUGGAGUGGACAUGUGGCAGUCAGCCUCACCCCUGUACUAACUACACUGUCUUCUGUAUCUUCAUGCUGUGGCCUCUGGGGUCUCGCUGGCUGGACGGCGAGAUUCCGCCCCCCCCGCUCCCCCCAAGCCAGCCAGUUCUUGGAGAUGGCAAAAGACUGGCCUGGGAGUUGCCUUUCGUACGGCACCAAGCGAUCUGGAGCCCUCCUCUGAGCCCCUCGUCCGUCCAGCAUGGACCCUCCAGCAGGCAGUGACCAGGCACUGGACAAGCAGGAACCACCACCACUGUAGGCCAGAGCCCACCAAAAUAGUCCAUCCGUUCAGUCCUAAGCCUGUUCGGAUGCUCACCUGAUCCUUCCCUGGAAACCACAACACACACUUUUGUCCAUGUUUCCCUCGGCCUCCUGACGGACCCUGGUGCUCCCUGCAUGGCCUGUGGGGUGCCACCCCCACUUCUCCGUAACCCUGCACCCACAGAGACUUGUCGCUUCACAAUGGUCUUUUCCAUGUCUGCACGUCUUACCAAGCCUGAUCAGAACAAGUCCCAGGUACAAUUUGAAAAACCCCCUUAGCUUCUUGGCCUGUGGGUUAAGGACGGUCACAGUGAGAAGGUGCAGUGGGAGCCCGUGAGGCUGCCCCUCCACCAGCCAGGAGCCUGUCCCAGGGGCAAGCAGAGACAGCACUGCCCUUAGACCUAAACGUUCAGCAGAGGUGUCUCCACCCUCCCCUCCAGGAGACCCUCAGCGAGAACGGCAGAUAUUUUUGGUUGUCAGAGCUUGGGGUGGGGGGACAAGGAAGGAGGAGCCCCUACCUCCAGUGAGUGGAGGCUCGGGACUCUGUCACACGUCCUUUGAUGCCCAGGAUGGCCCCCACAACAGAAUUAUCUGG
ensembl:lncRNA